ACACCAUGAGUAAAGCACACCCUCCCAAGCUAAAAAAAUUUAUGGACAAGAAGUUGUCAUUGAAAUUAAAUGGUGGCAGACAUGUCCAAGGAAUAUUGCGGGGAUUUGAUCCCUUUGUGAAUCUUGUGAUAGAUGAAUGUGUGGAGAUGGCAACUAGUGAGCAACAGAACAAUAUUGGAAUGGUGGUAAUACGAGGAAAUAGUAUCUUCAUGUUAGAAGCUUUGGAACGAGUUUAAAUGAUGACAGUUCAGCAGAGAAAUCCACGUGCCCUCUCCAAAGGGCCUGUUUAACUAUGAAGUAAAAAUUGUGUUGUGUACAUUUUCAUAUUAACCUUUUUGUUAAAUAAGCUUUUGUAAUAGUCAAAAAAA